ACCACACAGGGUCCCCGCUCCCAUACUGGUUAGGAAGUUCCCAGGGGAGUAGCACUGCCGGCCAGGACUGGGGUCUGCGGGUGGGUGGUCGCGGCAGGAGCUGUGGUAGUGCUGAGUUGGGCGAGAGCAGGAUGACAGCCUCGCCAAAGGCCACGUGGGCCACGCUGGUGUUUGUUACAGGGUCAGGACAAGCGCCAUACCGGCGGCAGUGUGUCAGACCGGGCUGAGGGGGUGGCAGCGGAUAAAUGCAAGGAGGUGCUCUUUGGUGGCACCAGGGAGAGCUUCUGCCCACAUGUGGGACGCCACAUCGCUCUGGCAUCGUGUGUUAUCCCUUGAUGGUCGCAGGGCAGAAGACCCUAUCAGUGCCAAUGAGGGGCAACCUGCUGGUGGGUGUAGCAUCGUCAGUGCCAUCGGUGACCCUCAUGGCCUUCAGGCUUAGCUUGGUGGCUCUGCCGGGGACCACUUGGCCACACACAAGCACCUAUUCAGGGCCCUGUUGAGGAGAAGGGAGGUGUCUCUGCUGGUGAAGGCGAGACAAGACUUGUUGGGGUUAAGUAGGGCUUGGCUGAAGGGAUGACAAGAUGUCUGCAGAGAUGUCAAAAUGGAGCCUGGCCGUUCACUGCGCUCGGGUGGCUUGUGCUGGGGUGCCCAGGCAGGAGCGCCUUAUUGCUCAGAGGUUUGCUAAGCAGCAGCAGUAGGGUUUGGCACUGUUCUCCAGCUUCUCUUCUGCGAAAUGGAAGUAGGAGUUUCUGCCUUCUGUGGAAGUUUCCUCCAUUAGGAAUUAAGACCGUAUGUGCAUGUUGGUGGUACUUUAAGUGGGUCUAUGUCUUGGAGGAAGAUGGAAGCCUAGCUCUGACAGGAGAUGAGCUCUGCCAUCAGUGAGGAAAGGAGGAGAAAUCGUGACAUGCAUCCUCCUGGCUUACCAGGAGUAUGAUGGGACAGGGGCCACGUUCCGCUUCUUGCAGGGCGGCCGGCUCUCCACUGCCUCCUUCUCACUCCUGCUCCAAGCAUCUCUGUGCUCCGGGCCAGGAUGGGCUUCACUUCCCGGAAAGUAUCUGGAAAUGCCUUCUCUUCAGCAUCCUUCCCCAAACCUGUGAUCUUGUAGCCAUGCCAGCCAAGCUCUGUUUUGUACUUCUAGGUCUAGCACUGAAGUGCUUUGGUGACCUCAGGGGUCAGCCCCAGGCAGCAGUACCAGUCUCAUCAUUACAGAGAGACCGGCUACUGGGCUUAUCAUGGAGCAGACAAGUGGCCCAGCAGCUUUCCCAGUGCCUUCCGCUCGCAGACUCGAUGCCUGAAGGAGGCUGAUAUGGGACUCCCUUCCAGUCAAGAAAGAUCCCUCUACUCCCUUUCCCCAGUGCCUGGGAGAAGCAAAGGGAAGGUGAUGAGAGCAUCCCGGCUUGUGAUAGGGUGCUCACCCAUGGGUUUAUAUUCCCUGCCAUUUCAGCUUGCUGCCUUCCCACCUGCCCUCCUUCCCAGGGAAAUUUCUAGGGAUGGACCUCCAAGAGCACAACAGUGCUGGAAACUUCCUGAAGAGAGAGGGCAGGCAGGGGGCUCGGUGGGAAGGGGGUGCCUUGCUCAGUGCACAAGAAGCAGAUAUCCUGUUGCU